rnacentral:rRNA from 1 species
UACGUAGGGUGCGAGCGUUAAUCGGAAUUACUGGGCGUAAAGUGUGCGCAGGCGGCUCCGUAAGUCGAGUGUGAAAUCCCCGAGCUUAACUUGGGAAUUGCGCUCGAAACUACGGAGCUGGAGUGUGGCAGAGGAAGGUGGAAUUCCACGUGUAGCGGUGAAAUGCGUAGAUAUGUGGAGGAACACCGAUGGCGAAGGCAGCCUUCUGGGCCAACACUGACGCUCAUGCACGAAAGCGUGGGGAGCAAACAGG